CUCGGACGUCAUCGGUCACGUGGAAUGGUCACACAUAUAAGCGGCAACACGCACUUUGUUAAAGUAAAACAAGCUUCGACGUUGUGUAUCAAACGUCCCGUCAUUGGACUAUGACUCCUGGGCCCCCGUUAAUGUCUGUGUCCCAGGCCCAGUGAGGAGAUGGUCCUGAGUCCUCCCUGUUACCCCAAGGACCAGUUCACCACCAGCAUCCUGAGACACUGGCUGUCCAAUUUACAACAACAUGCCCAGCUGAUCAAGAACCACCAGCCCCGCAAGAGACAGAGGUGAGGACCGUCAUAUGAGGACGGUCUCUGGGUACCUGUUGAACAGCGGUUGUGUCUCCGUCCUCAGUCUUUGCAGUUCCAGCAGUAACCUGGCUCAGCUCACCCUGAAACAGAUCUUGGAGCUCAUGGACAACCUGCGGCUGAGCCUGAGCAACACCAAGAACAGCUGGGGGGGAGACCAGAAAGCAGGGGAGGCUUUAGGGCGGGGGCUACCUUGUGAUUGCCAAGUCGCUAGCUGUAACCCUAAUAUGGUACCCUGUGAGGGACCAAGAUGUCAGGCAUGAGGAGUCAGAAAGAAUCAUUAUCAUCCCCAUCAUCAUCAUGUGGAGGACGACAUGGGUUUUUUGGUGCAGGAGGGGGCACAUCUGGUUCCACUGGAGUCUCUCCAAAGGAUCGCUCAGAAGUUUGUGAUCGCAUGAAAAGAUUGUUGCUGUUCUUGGCCGGGUUGAAUGGGAAUAUCCCUGACCCACGGACUCCAGCCUGGGCAUUUGAUUGUGUAGCAGCUACCUUCCAGGCCUUGGAAACAGAGGUAUAAACAACUCUUGCCUUUGAAUAUGAUGAGCGUGGGUCCAUACCCACCAGCCGCAUUGAUGCUGGCAAGACAGGCCUUGGUCUCGCCCUUCUCACCACCGGUAACCUCAAAACAAGGUGACCCAAACUCAGCAACCACCCUAAUUGACAGGAAGUGGUCCUGGAGCCCUGUUUCAUCAGUUCCAUAUAUGGUCGGGAGCAUUCUCCAACCCCAGACUCUCAGUCGUAGUUUUAUAUUUGUUAAACCAAUCUUUCACCACAGUGGGGUUGAACCCUGCAGCGCUCGAGGCUGAGGGCACCUCUGGUUUUCGGAUACUCAGGUUCUUGUUUCUUUUCAAGAAAUCCCAAUUCAGUUUCUGUAUUUCCACCAUCAUAAGGGGGAAUCCUCGUUUUUCUAAUGUACAUAUAACUUCCGCCAGCUCAGCUUCAUCCUCCAGGUUAAUAAGUGGUUUCCUUCCAAUUGUGUGGUGAAAGUGGCCAUUGCCUUUUGCCCUGCGAUGGAGAGUUGAUUUAGGCACAUUCCAUGCCCUGGCCAACAGUCUUAGCUGAGGGACCCCACCAUCUUCAACGAUCUUCCUAUACUCCUCUAAGGCUCCUUUCAUCCUAUCCUGCCUCCACUGAUUCAGUUUCUUUCUCUUGUCCUGCCUCUUGUUGUGCUUCUGACAAUCUCUCCCUGUCUUUCUCUGCUUUGCCAUUUUGAUCUGAAACACGUCAUUAAUAAUGAAAUGCAUAAAAUAAAGUGGAAUGGUUUCAAGUUUUUAAAGUCAGAGCUAUUUUUUCAUUUUAAGACACCUACUAUCUUCACACACUCACAACCAAAAAUAGCCUUUAAACCUCCAUCUCCCAAAGAACAAAAAGUUCCCAUGACCCUAAACAUCUGUAGUAACAGCCUUCUAAUAUUACAUAACAACACUACACACCUGUAAAUAACCAUUUUUGUCCCACUAACCAUGCCCCACCACACAUUUUUGACUGACCAUACUUUCCAAUUGUCCCACAUUAGGCUAAUCAUGCUGUCCCACUUUACGAAACCGCAUUUCCUAAUCUGGGACACUAGGAAAUUUUAUAAAAAUAGAAAAUAUAUAGUUUACACAUACAAAGUUAUAGUAUUUUUUGAUGGAAAAACAUUUCAUAACUGCAUUGGGCCAAAAAUUUGCAUGAUUGUUUGGUUUAAAAUGUAUUUAUACUCCUUAAUAUUAAGUUUGUCAAAAGUCUGUCACUAACCUUUGGGUGGUCGGCACACAAAAUGGUUCCGGUUUGAUAAUGGCUCCACCCUCAUUUAUGACUGCACAUUUGAGAGGUGGUGUGAAUUUGAAACAUGACACCACAGGUUUGGCUAAGCCAGAGUCUGAUUGGCAUUCAUGUAUUUAUGGGGGACCUACACACACUAGACCUUAGAUGUCCCACAUUAGGGCAAUUCACCCUAUAUAGUGGCUGAUCAGACCCUAACCCCAAGUAGUAACUCCCCAGGAACUGGUAACUCAAAAGAAAAGGUAUUAGUUUCACAGAACGUAACUUAAAGAUGAUGAACCUGAAAUUAGCUAAAUUGACAAAGCUAACUAAA